GGAGCCGUUACCAAUGGGAUCUCGCUGGUGGCGAUAGAUGGUCACUGGCUUAGCGAAAGCGUUAAGUAUCCCACCUGGGGAGUACGCUCGCAAGAGUGAAACUCAAAAGAAUUGACGGGGGCCCGCACAAGUGGUGGAGCAUGUGGUUUAAUUCGAUGAUACGCGAGGAACCUUACCUAGGCUAGAAUGCGCGUGACCGGCUCAGAGAUGAGCCUUUCCUUCGGGACACAAAGCAAGGUGCUGCAUGGCCGUCGUCAGCUCGUGCCGUGAGGUGUUGGGUUAAGUCCCGCAACGAGCGCAACCCCUAUGUUUAGUUGCCAGCAUGUAAUGAUGGGGACUCUAGACAGACUGCCUGCGCAAGCAGUGAGGAAGGCGGGGACGACGUCAGGUCAUCAUGGCCCUUACGCCUAGGGCUACACACGUGCUACAAUGGACGGUACAGCGGGUUGCCAACCAGCGAUGGUGCGCCAAUCCCGAAAAGCCGUUCUCAGUUCGGAUCGGAGUCUGCAACUCGACUCCGUGAAGCUGGAAUCACUAGUAAUCGCGUAUCAGCAAUGACGCGGUGAAUACGUUCCCGGGCCUUGUACACACCGCCCGUCAAGCCAUGGAAGUUUGGUAGACCUGAAGCUGGUGCUCCGCAACGAAGCCAGUUAGGGUAGAACAGGUAACUAGGGCUAAGUCGUAAAAGGGUAACCA
rnacentral:rRNA from 1 species